rnacentral:rRNA from 1 species
AUGGCGUCUCCGGCCUCCACCUCCGCGCCGGUCUCCCUCUCCCUCUCCCUCCCGCUCCGCCCUUCCCCGUGCCGCCGCCUCCCCGCGCCCUUCUCCCGCCUCCCUCCCCGCCGCUUCACCCUCUCGCCGACCCGCCCCGCCGCCGCGCUGCUCUCCAGCCCCAGCCCCAGCCCCAGCCACGCGCAGCACGAGCACAAGGACGAGGAAGAUGAAGAAGAGGAGUAUGGUGAAGAUGAGGAGCUCGUGGAGGAGGAUGACUUGGUGGAGGUGGGGUACGUGAGCGGCGCGCACGGGGUGCGCGGCGACGUCCUCGUCUCGCCCCGCACCGACUUCCCCGAGCUCCGCUUCGCCACGCCGGGGAAGAGGUGGCUGAGGGCUCGCGCCGCCGGGAAGAUGCAGGUCAGGGAGUUCGAGCUCGUCAGGGGGAAAGCCCACACGGGGAAGAAGGGCUGGAUCGUGCGCUUCGACGGCGUCGACUCCUUGGACGAGGCCAGGCAGAUAGUUGGUUCGGCUGUUCUCGUGAAGACCGAGGAUAGGCCGGAACUGGAGGAGGAUGAGAUCUAUUCGCUCGAUCUUGUUGGCAUGACUGUUAUUGUCAAGGAUACAGGCAAGCUUGUAGGCACUGUUGCACAGGUCUUCAAUUUUGGAGGUGGCGAUCUUCUCCAGGUUAUGGUUGGCUCUGCUGAGAAUGCUGUGCAGACUGAUUCAGAAAAUCAGGAUUCAACUCCAUCCCGUCAGCACGUGUGGAUUCCAUUUGCUGAAGAUAUUGUGCCUGAUAUUGAUAUGGAGACUAGAGAGAUGUGGAUUACACCACCAAAGGGUCUUCUUGAGGUCAACACACGUCCUGAGAAAUCAAAGAAAGAAAGGCGUGCGAUGGAUUGGAAGGAAAAGAAGAAACUACAGCGUCGCAUAACUGCAGCAAAGAAGGUACUACAUGAAAUGGAACAGGGCCAUAUUCUGGAAGGUUUGCUAUCAGGGGACAAGCUCGAAAAGGCUUCACUUGCUGAACAAAUUGCGAGCAUUGACUUCCAAUUGUUCAAACAUGCAAUGCAUAGCGUCAGCAAGCAGGUUGACAGCAUGUCAAAGAAUGUUCUUGCCAAUUCCUCUUCAUCAAGAAAAAACGUGAUGAGGAUACCUCGCGAAACCCUCAUGAAUCAUGGUGAGAAAGAGAAGAAUGUCUUCAGUAGUGAAUUUAGCAAAGGCUGUGAGAUCCUUCAAAAGUCAAAAGCAGCAAUUGUACUUGUUACAAAUGACUCAGACUCUGAUAUUGUGGAUGCUGAGUUUCAGAGAUUGCUUAACUCUUUUAGUGAGUUAAUGAAGGUAGAAGAAAAUCAUAUAUCUCCCCCUUUUGUUAUUGUUUCUCCUGGCGAUCAUGUGGAUUCAGUUCGGAACUACUUGAUAGAGAACGACUAUUUUGGUUUUGACACUCAGAAGCUAUGGGUCCUUGAAGAGAUGAAACUACCAGUUGUCAGUCUGUCCUCUGAGCUAGGGAGCAAAAAAAUUCUGCUGAAGUCCCCAUGGGAGAUACUUCAAAGGCCAGCUGGAUCUGGGGCGAUUUUCAGCUCACUAUCAUCAAAUAAAAUUCUGGAAUCGUUCAAUGCAAUGGGCAUAGAGUACGUACAGAUAUGCAGCCCCUCUGACGAACUAGUCCUCGGGCAUCCUCUGCUCUUCGGUGCUGCAAGUUCGCGCAGUGUGGAUGUCGGUGUCAAGCUCCGCAAGACCAGCGACAAGACGGAAGAUGGUUUCGAUUUGAUCCUUUCCAUCGACCACUUGAACAAGAUGUGCCGAGACGUCGCCAAGGCCAGGUUCUCUGCCCACCCCGAGCAGCACGAACACGUCGAGCUUGUCGACGGCCAGUGGGUCACCGUCCAGCCAGAGGGGCCGAACUCUCACCGGUUGAGUACCAAUGUUACAAGUGUUUUGGAUUCUUGCUCUCCUGACAAGCUGUGCGUCAUGGAGAUUGUUGAGUAG